rnacentral:rRNA from 1 species
UAGUCCACGCCCUAAACGAUGCUAACUCGAUGUUUGGGUCUUGAACUUGAGCAUCCAAGGGAAACCGUUAAGUUAGCCACCUGGGGAGUACGUUCGCAAGAAUGAAACUCAAAGGAAUUGACGGGGGUCCGCGCAAACGGUGGAGCAUGUGGUUUAAUUCGAAGCAACGCGCAGAACCUUACCAGCCCUUGACAUCCUGAUCGCGGAAUUUAGAGAUAAGUUCCUUCAAUUCGGUUGGAUCAGUGACAGGUGCUGCAUGGCUGUCGUCAGCUCGCGUCGUGAGACGUCGCGUUAAGUCGCUUAACGAGCGCAACCCUUGUCUUUAGUUGCCAGCACGUAAUGGUGGGGACUCUAGAGAGACUGCCGGUGUCAAACCGGAGGAAGGUGGGGACGACGUCAAGUCAUCAUGGCCUUUAUGUCCAGGGCUGCACACGUCCUACAAUGCGGCGUACAAACGGAAGCUAACCCGCGAGGGUACGCAAAUCUGAAAAGCGACCGCUCAGUUCGGAUUGCAGG